AGUGAACGCUGGCGGUAGGCCUAACACAUGCAAGUCGAACGGCAGCACAGUAAGAGCUUGCUCUUACGGGUGGCGAGUGGCGGACGGGUUAGGAAUACAUCGGAAUCUACUUUUUCGUGGGGGAUAACGUAGGGAAACUUACGCUAAUACCGCAUACGACCUACGGGUGAAAGCAGGGGAUCUUCGGACCUUGCGCGAUUGAAUGAGCCGAUGUCGGAUUAGCUAGUUGGCGGGGUAAAGGCCCACCAAGGCGACGAUCCGUAGCUGGUCUGAGAGGAUGAUCAGCCACACUGGAACUGAGACACGGUCCAGACUCCUACGGGAGGCAGCAGUGGGGAAUAUUGGACAAUGGGCGCAAGCCUGAUCCAGACAUACCGCGUGGGUGAAGAAGGCCUUCGGGUUGUAAAGACCUUUUGUUGGGAAAGAAAAGCAGCAGGUUAAUACCCCGCUGUUCUGACGGUACCCAAAGAAUAAGCACCGGCUAACUUCGUG
rnacentral:rRNA from 1 species